rnacentral:rRNA from 1 species
ACGGAAGGCAGCAGUGGGGGAUAUUGCACAAUGGAGGAAACUCUGAUGCAGCAACGCCGCGUGAAGGAUGAAGGUCUUCGGAUUGUAAACUUCUUUAAUCGGGGAAGAAAAAAAUGACCUACCCGAAGAAUAAGCCACGGCUAACUACGUGCCAGCAGCCGCGGUAAUACGUAGGUGGCAAGCGUUAUCCGGAUUUACUGGGUGUAAAGGGCGUGUAGGCGGCUCUGCAAGUCAGAAGUGAAAUUCCCGGGCUCAACCUGGGCGCUGCUUCUGAAACUGCAGAACUUGAGUACUGGAGGGGAAAGCGGAAUUCCUAGUGUAGCGGUAAAAUGCGCAGAUAUUAGGAGGAACACCGGUGGCGAAGGCGGCUUUCUGGACAGUAACUGACGCUGAGGCGCGAAAGCGUGGGGAGCAAACAGGAUUAGAUACCCUGGUA